AAAUUGAAGAGUUUGAUCAUGGCUCAGAUUGAACGCUGGCGGCAGGCCUAACACAUGCAAGUCGAACGGUAACAGGAAGCAGCUUGCUGCUUUGCUGACGAGUGGCGGACGGGUGAGUAAUGUCUGGGAAACUGCCUGAUGGAGGGGGAUAACUACUGGAAACGGUGGCUAAUACCGCAUAACGUCGCAAGACCAAAGAGGGGGACCUUCGGGCCUCUUGCCAUCAGAUGUGCCCAGAUGGGAUUAGCUUGUUGGUGAGGUAACGGCUCACCAAGGCGACGAUCCCUAGCUGGUCUGAGAGGAUGACCAGCCACACUGGAACUGAGACACGGUCCAGACUCCUACGGGAGGCAGCAGUGGGGAAUAUUGCACAAUGGGCGCAAGCCUGAUGCAGCCAUGCCGCGUGUAUGAAGAAGGCCUUCGGGUUGUAAAGUACUUUCAGCGGGGAGGAAGGUGUUGUGGUUAAUAACCGCAGCAAUUGACGUUACCCGCAGAAGAAGCACCGGCUAACUCCGUGCCAGCAGCCGCGGUAAUACGGAGGGUGCAAGCGUUAAUCGGAAUUACUGGGCGUAAAGCGCACGCAGGCGGUCUGUCAAGUCGGAUGUGAAAUCCCCGGGCUCAACCUGGGAACUGCAUUCGAAACUGGCAGGCUUGAGUCUUGUAGAGGGGGUAGAAUUCCAGGUGUAGCGGUGAAAUGCGUAGAGAUCUGGAGGAAUACCGGUGGCGAAGGCGGCCCCCUGGACAAAGACUGACGCUCAGGUGCGAAAGCGUGGGGAGCAAACAGGAUUAGAUACCCUGGUAGUCCACGCCGUAAACGAUGUCUACUUGGAGGUUGUGCCCUUGAGGCGUGGCUUCCGGAGCUAACGCGUUAAGUAGACCGCCUGGGGAAUACGGCCGCAAGGUUAAAACUCAAAUGAAUUGACGGGGGCCCGCACAAGCGGUGGAGCAUGUGGUUUAAUUCGAUGCAACGCGAAGAACCUUACCUGGUCUUGACAUCCACAGAACUUUCCAGAGAUGGAUUGGUGCCUUCGGGAACUGUGAGACAGGUGCUGCAUGGCUGUCGUCAGCUCGUGUUGUGAAAUGUUGGGUUAAGUCCCGCAACGAGCGCAACCCUUAUCCUUUGUUGCCAGCGGUCCGGCCGGGAACUCAAAGGAGACUGCCAGUGAUAAACUGGAGGAAGGUGGGGAUGACGUCAAGUCAUCAUGGCCCUUACGACCAGGGCUACACACGUGCUACAAUGGCGCAUACAAAGAGAAGCGACCUCGCGAGAGCAAGCGGACCUCAUAAAGUGCGUCGUAGUCCGGAUUGGAGUCUGCAACUCGACUCCAUGAAGUCGGAAUCGCUAGUAAUCGUGGAUCAGAAUGCCACGGUGAAUACGUUCCCGGGCCUUGUACACACCGCCCGUCACACCAUGGGAGUGGGUUGCAAAAGAAGUAGGUAGCUUAACCUUCGGGAGGGCGCUUACCACUUUGUGAUUCAUGACUGGGGUGAAGUCGUAACAAGGUAACCGUAGGGGAACCUGCGGUUGGAUCACCUCCUUA
rnacentral:rRNA from 1 species